CACUGAGGUGGUCCUCAGAUAAACCAGGAAGAGACAAGGGCGUUCCAGAAAGAGGUGACACCUUGGGAACUGCAGGGAUACAGGUGGAGAUUUCAAAACAGUCACCGACCAGGAAGUGAGAAGCGGGACUAUGGCCGCCGCAAUGAAGGGGCGGCAUGUCUCAACCAAGGCGCCUCAACAAUGGAGUUCAGGAGAUGUCAGUUAAAUGAAUGAAAGACCUGCAGAUAUACUCUCUCAGGAAGACAUACUGUCUUGGAAAGAUAUGU